CGUAUUUACCAAAAGCGUAUUCAUAUUAGAUUUUCGAUCUCGCAAUGCCAGCCGGCCGUAUCGAGAAUGUCACCGAUACAUUCGAUUCUUUAUUCGAGUCUAUUCGAGUACGCCGCACGCCGCGACACGGAAGGGUGUCAAAUAAAUACAGACCUCCUGCCUGUCUCGUCAACCGUGAUGCCGCUGCCUUUCUACUCUGUUUAUAAUUACGAAAAGAAACUGCUCAGGGAUAAACAAAAGAAACGACCUCAAGGGAAAAUCUCGCUAGUCACUAAACAGCC